UACAGAGGGUGCGAGCGUUAAUCGGAAUUACUGGGCGUAAAGCGCGCGUAGGCGGCUUUGCAAGUCGGGUGUGAAAUCCCCAGGCUUAACCUGGGAACUGCAUUCGAGACUGCAUUGCUAGAGUAUGGGAGAGGGAAUUGGAAUUUCCGGUGUAGCGGUGAAAUGCGUAGAUAUCGGAAGGAACAUCAGUGGCGAAAGCGACUUCCUGGACCAAUACUGACGCUCAUGUGCGAAAGCGUGGGGAGCAAACAGG
rnacentral:rRNA from 1 species